CCACACUCAAAGAGGUGCGCGUUGUGGGGCAGUGCGGGGAGGGCCAGCGGGGGUGGGCUCUCUGGCUGGGGAGGGGCCACAGAGCUCAGGAACUCACGGAUCCACCUCCCUCUCUCCCUCACACCCCACCCCUGUGCCUUUCCUCCUGAAUAUCCCAUUUCUCUCCUGGCCUCUUGGUCUUCGUUUGUGUUCCCUGCUUGUGUCUCUUGCAUGAUUCUUCUUGGUCUACUGUGAACUCUUACCCUUCCCCUCACCUCUGCCCCCUCCCCACGUCUCUCUCUCGGCCCGUCCCUCUCCGGUGGCCUCUUUUCUUUCAGACAGAGAAGAUUACAGUAUGUGGGGACACCCAUGGCCAGUUCUAUGACCUCCUCAACAUAUUCGAGCUCAACGGUUUACCCUCGGAGACCAACCCCUAUAUAUUUAAUGGUGACUUUGUGGACCGAGGCUCCUUCUCUGUAGAAGUGAUCCUCACCCUUUUCGGCUUCAAGCUCCUGUACCCAGAUCACUUUCACCUCCUUCGAGGUGAGCUGGGAAGUGACAAGGUUUGGGUUCAUUG
rnacentral:lncRNA from 10 species